rnacentral:rRNA from 1 species
CAAGGCAUACGGCUCAGUAACGCGUAGUCAACCUAACCUAUGGACGGGAAUAACCUCGGGAAACUGAGAAUAAUGCCCGAUAGAACAUUAUGCCUGGAAUGGUUUAUGUUCCAAAUGAUUUAUCGCCGUAGGAUGGGACUGCGGCCUAUCAGUUUGUUGGUGAGGUAAUGGCCCACCAAGACUAUUACAGGUACGGGCUCUGAGAGGAGUAGCCCGGAGAUGGGUACUGAGACACGGACCCAGGCCCUAUGGGGCGCAGCAGGCGAGAAAACUUUGCAAUGUGCGAAAGCACGACAAGGUUAAUCCGAGUGGUUUCUGCUAAAGAAACCUUUUGUCAGUCCUAGAAACACUGAUGAAUAAGGGUGGGCAAGUUCUGGUGU